UGAUGUACAAGGCUGUAACGUAUAACAAACAAAUAUAAUAUAUCGCUAUAUUUGUUUCAAGUAGUUGGCUAUUCGCAGGUUUUCCCAACAACCCAGUUGUGCAUUUGUUUAGCUAGCUAGCGUAUGACGUCCACUCAUACCACGCUAAUGUUAAAAUGUCAGAGCUCCUUUCCUUCAGGCUCUUUAGUUAGAGUUAGCCAACAUGGCGACCAUGUAACGUUAACGCAAACGGACUAUGUGGAGUGCCAACAAAAUGAGGGUCCCCCGAUGCCAAAUGGGGCUCCGGCGAGCCUAUUUGGUUUGGCCAAUCCUGCUGCUACUCCUGGUUGGUGCGGCAUUGACAGCUCUGCUGCCCCCUGCUGAGGACCAAGGAGGUGUUGGUGGCCUAGGAGUGCUACGCGAGGCAACAUCACACAAAAAUAAUCCUAGGAAGGACAAACCUGGUGACAGCAUAGGGGAGGAGGAGCAGAGGUUCACCAUCAUCAUCCAAACUUACAACCGCACAGACAUUUUGCUCAAACUCCUAAACCAUUACCAGGCAGUGCCUCAUCUGCGGCAGAUUAUCAUAGUCUGGAACAACAUUGGGGAGCAGACACCUCUGAAGUUAUGGAACUCUUUGGGGCCUCAUCCGGUCCCUCUGGUCUUCAAGGAGCAGACUAUCAAUAACAUGCGCAACAGACUACAACCAUUCCCUGAGAUUAAUACUGAUGCGGUGCUGAUGCUGGAUGACGACACCCUGGUCAGUGUUCCUGACAUCAGUUUUGCUUUCUCUGUCUGGAAGCAAUUCCCAGACCAGAUUGUUGGGUUCGUCCCACGCAAACAUGUCUCAGCACCAGGAGGAGCGUACAGUUACGGCAGUUUUGAACUGCAGGACCCAGAAACAGCUGGAGGUGACAAGUACUCCAUGGUGUUAGUUGGUGCUGCCUUCUUCCACCGCCGGUACCUGCAGCUCUUCCAGGACCAACCUCAAGCAGUGCACGCGCUGGUGGAUGAAACGCAGAAUUGUGACGACAUUGCCAUGAACUUUGCUGUAGCGCUGUAUUUGAGGAAACACUCUAUAGGCAAGGUUAACAAACCCUCCGGGGUCUUUGUCAAACCUGUAGACCUCCGCAACCUGGAAAAGGAUGCCAGGAGCGGGUACCAGGGCAUGUGGCAUCGUCCUGAACACCUUCUUCAGAGAUCCUACUGUAUGAACAAGCUGACGCAGAUCUACGGCUUCAUGCCACUCUGCUUCUCCAACCUGAUGGUGUCCCAGUUUGGCUUCCCCAGCUACGCCAACCAUAAGAGUAGAGGCUGAGCUGCCACACAGCUGAUUGUUUUGGAUGGAAAGAAGACCGACUCAAGUAAGUCUGCACUAUCAUGGAUUUAGGACAAUCAGAAUUUUCUAAACAUGGCCCAGUCUGAGGCAUAAUCUAUAUUUGAUAAAGUAAUCUCUAUAUCGUUACCAAAGCUGCCUUUCUUUCAGUAUGAACAACCCUCUCAGUGGAUUGUGGUUGUUCUACAACCAGCAGGUGUAACCAUGAUUUACAGCUCUCUGAUGCUGUCCUGUAAACAUUUGUUUUUACUACAUUUAUUUAGUUUACGGAUUGUCACUUUUCUGGUGAGCUUGUAUGAAUUUGUAGGUACUGUUAUUAAGUAUGUACUGGUCAAAAGAGCGUCUGUACCAAAGGUGUGAAUUUAUGAAUAAAAUACAGGUAUUUUGUACAUUCUA